rnacentral:lncRNA from 1 species
GCACACUGAAGGCAUCAGUAUCACCAGGAGGCUCAAUGAAGCAGGCUGCUGCCUUAGCCCUGGAGUUGAGACUCAGGAUGCGAAUGGGAACUGAGAAUUGGAAUUGUGGAAAGCAACCUGGUGUUAUUGAGAGUGCCAGUCCAAACCACUGAACUGAAGUGUGCAGCCACACUGGGAAACAGAAGCCAUGCUGGCCUGGGAGGAGGAACAAGAAGCCAAUUUGCCCUUCCCAUGAGCCAGCUGUCAUGGAGGCUGGGAGACAAGAACACGCACACACACUCCAUAAGCAACAGGCAUUUGAAGAACAGACUGAGUUGACAACAACUGAGAUACAAAAACAACCUAAUGCUUAUAAUGUUUGAUUGACUUUGCAGGCCUAAAGCUGGUAGUCUGAGCAUCUAGUAAGAGGACAACUCUGCACUACAGUAAAU